rfam:Colletotrichum chlorophyti strain NTL11 CCHL11_scaffold64, whole genome shotgun sequence.
AGCUUAAUCUUAUAAUAAUCUAUACUCUUUUAAAGCUUUUAAGUAUUACUAUUAAUACUAUAAUUAUAAGUAUUAACUUAAAAUAAGCUAUUAUAUAUAAGCUAUAAAAAUAAAAAGCUAUAAAGGAGGUAGUUAAUAAGUAUAACCCUUAAGAAACAGCCUUAUAUAUAAUAAGUAUUAUUACUAAUAUCUAUUAAGGCUUAUUAGUAAUUUAUAAUAACUUCUUAAAUUGUAUAGCCUUAUACUAAUAAUAGUUUAUUUAAAUUUCUUCUCUAUUAACUUUUAAUACUAAAGUAGUAUUUUAGUAUAGUUAUAAUAAGUAAUAGUAGGUUAGAGCUUAACCCUAAAGAAGGAGCUUAAGAAAUAGCUACUAUAUCUAAAAAAGGUAGUAAGUAUAUAAAUUACUUAAUCCUAAUAUAAAGAGGUAGUAAUAAUAAAUACUAAUAUAGGGCUCUUUUAGGUCUUAUAAUUAAAAUAAGUAUAAUUUAAAUCCCUUAAUAAAGAAUAAUUAAAGGGUAAGUUUAGUACUAAUAGCUAUAGUAAUUUUAGCUUUAAUAGUAUAUAUUAAAGUUAUUAUAGUUAAAAAGCUUAUAGUAGAACCUUAGGCUUAGCUAGCUGGUCCGCUUUACUAUAUAUAUUAGUUUAGUUAGGCCUUUCCCUUUAUAGAACUAUAUACCCUUUACUAAGUAUACUAAAGAAAUAGGACUUUUACUUUAAAAAAAUUAAAGUACUUUAAGUAGGCCUAUACUUAAAUAUAUUAGUAUAGAAUAAUAAAAUAAAACGUAUAGUUCUAUUUUAUUAGUUUUUAAGACUACUAUAAUAAUUAAUAGGGAUAGUUAGGGGUAUUAGUAUUUAAUUAUUAGAGGUAAAAUUCUUAGAUUUAUUAAAGACUAAAUAUUAUAAAAGCAUUUACUAAAAAUAUUUUUAUUUAUUAAGAAUAAAAGUUAAGGGAUUAGAGAUAAUUAGAUACUAUUAUAGUCUUAACUAUAAACUAUACUAACUAAGGAUUAAAUAAUAUUAUUUUUUAACUUAUUUAGUACCUUAUAAAAAAUUAAAGUACUUAAGCUUUAAAGGGAGUAUAGUUAUAAAGCUAAAACUUAAAGAAAUUAAUAAAAAGGUACUACUAAGGGUAGAACCUAUAGCUUAAUUUAACUUAAUAUAGAGAAACUUACUAAGUUUAAAUAUAAUAAAGAUUAAUAGAUUAAGAGCUCUUUUUUAAUUUUAUAAGUAGUAGUAUAUAGCCGUUCUUAGUUAGUAGAGUAAUUUAUUUACUUAAUUAUAAUAAUAAAUAAGACCUUAACUUAUUAAAUAGCUUAUAUUACUUUAGUAGUAUACUAGCUUCUUAGAGGGACUAUUAGCUUAAGCUAAUAGAAGUUUAAGGUAAUAAUAGGUUUAUAAUACCUUUAGAUAUUCUAAGCUAUAUAUAUGUUAUACUAAUAGAGCUAAUAAGUACUUCUUUAGCUAAAAGGCCUAAGUAAUCUUAUUAAACUCUAUUAUACUAAGGAUAGAGCAUUAUAAUUAUUACUCUUUAAUAAGGAAUCUUUAGUAAGUAUAAGUUAUUAGCUUAUAUUAAUUAUAUCUUUACUUUUUAUAUAUACUACUUAUUAUUAUUACUAAUUAAAUAGCUUAAUAAGGCUUUUAGACUAACUUAGAGAGGUAGGUAACUACUACUUAAAGCUAAAAAGUUAUUUAAACUUAGUUAUUUAAAGGAAGUAAAAGUUAUAAUAAGGUCUCUAUUAGUAAACUAAUAGAGGGAUUAUUA